rnacentral:rRNA from 1 species
AAACAUAACCUUUAGCCACAAACAAAUAUUAAAGGCAACGCCUGCCCAGUGAACAAUUAAACGGCCGCGGUACCCUAACCGUGCAAAGGUAGCAUAAUCAUUUGUCUAUUAAUUGUAGACCAGUAUGAAUGGCAAAAUGAGGAUCUAACUGUCUCCUAUAAUUAAUCAAUUAAACUGAUCUCCUAGUAAAAAAGCUAAGAUACCCCCAUAAGACCAGAAGACCCUGCGAAGCUUAAACUAAACUAUUACACCCCAUAAUAACUACUUUCGGUUGGGGCGACCUUGGAAAAAAAAAGAACUUCCAAACAAAUGACCAUAAAUCACCCCACUAACAGGCCUACAAGCCCAGAGACCCAGUCUAACUGACAAACGAACCAAGUUACUCCAGGGAUAACAGCGCCAUCUUCUUCCAGAGCCCAUAUCAAAAAGAAGGCUUACGACCUCGAUGUUGGAUCAGGACAUCCUAAUGGUGCAGCCGCUAUCAAAGGUUCGUUUGUUCAACGAUUAACAGUCCCACGUGAUCUGAUUUCAGACCGGA